rnacentral:lncRNA from 1 species
AUGUAUUUGAAAAAAAAUUUAUUUCCAAUUACAUACAAAAACAAUUUUAACAUUUUUUAAAAAUCGAGUGCCAAAUUCUCUUCCUUCUCCUUUACCUGAGGGGGCAAUUUGACAUAGGUUACACAUGUGCAAUCAUGCAAAACAUCUCCAUAUUAAUGUCAUGUCAAAGAAAACACGUUUCCCCUCACCCCCCCAAAAUAAAAAAAAAUUAUAUCAAUCUGCAUCUGGGCUUCUUCAGUUCUCUGGAGGUAGACAGCAUUUUUCAUCAUAUGUCCUUCAGAACUGUCUUGGAUCGCUUUGAGGCUGACAAUAGUUAAGCUUUUCAUAGUUAAAUCAUGCAACGUUAUCUUUUAAAAUGUUCUCCUUAGUUCUGCUCACUUCAUUUUGCAUUAGUCCAUUUAGUCUUUCCAGGUUUUUCUGAAAGCAUCUUGCUCAUAAUUUCUUAUAAUAGUAUUCCAUCACUAAAAAUUAGAUACUACUUCAACCAUUCCCCAAGUGAUGGGCAUUGCUUUAAUUUCCAAUUCUUUGCCAUCAGAAAAAGAGCUGCUAUAUUUUUGUACAUAUAGGUCCUUUCCUUUUCCUUAAAAAAAAAAAUCUUUUUGGAACAUAGAACUAGUAGUGGCAUUGUUUGGCCAACAGGAAUGCAGUUUUUUUUUUUUUCUUAAACCUUUUAGGGAUAGUUCCAAAUUGCUUUCCACAAUGGAAAAUCUUACUAAAAUACCAGAUUAUUAUAGCUAUUACUAAGUGUGUAGGAAAAUGUACUCAAUUUCAGUGCUCUACCAUUGUCUUAGCCAGUACCAGGCUUUUUAAUAUAGUUUGGAUCUGGAACUGCUAAGCUAUCUUCAAUUUUUAAAAAAUCCCUUGAUAUUUUUGACCUUUUUAAUGAAUUGGGUUUUUUCCCCUCUAGCUUUAUAGUUUUUGGUAAUUUAAUUAAUAGGCACUGAUUGAAUAAAUUAAUUUAGGUAUUCUUGUCAUUUUUAUCACAUUGGCCUGCCCUGCCCAUGAAAAGUAAUUUUUCCCAAUUGUUCAGAUCUGACUUUGUUUUGUAAUUGUGCUCCUAUAAUUCCUAGAUCUGUCUUGACAGUAGACACUCAAGCAUAUAGUCUAGUUAUUUUAAAUGGAAUUUUUCUGUCUUGCUGCUAGUCUUUGUUAGUAAUAUAAAGACAUGCUGAUUAUCUAUGUGCGUUUAUUUUAUAUCCUGCAACUUUGUUAAAAUUAUUUUAACUUCUUUCAGUUGUAAGAUUCUUCAAGUAUACCAUUAUAUCACCUACAAAAGGUUAGUUUUAUUUCCUCACUGCCUAGUUUCUUCAAUUUCUUUUAUCGUUACAGCCAGCAUUUUAAGUACAAUACUUACACAUACUACCUCAAUUCAAAUUCUCAUCAUUUUUCAUUUGCAUUACUACUAGUCUUCUAAUUGGUUAUCUUCCUUGUUUCAUGUCUCUUCUUGUUCCAGGCUAUUCUCCAUUAAUUUUUAAUAGCAUUUUAUUUUUCCCAAUACAUGCAAAUAUAGUUUUCAACAUUCACCUUUGUAAAAUCUUGUGUUCCCAAUUUUUUUCCCUUUCUUUCUCCUCCCUAAGAUAGCUAUGUGAUACAGGUUAAACAUGUCCAUCUUCUAAACACAUUUUUAAUAUUUGUCAUGCUACUCAAGAAAAAUCAAACAUAAAGGGAAAAAACACAAGAAAACAUACAAGGAAACAAAUAAAACCAAAAAAAGGUGAAAAUACUAUGCUUUGAUACACAAUCAUCAUAGUUCUGUCUCUGGAUGCAGAUACCACUUUCCAUCACAAGUCUUUUGGAACUGCCUUGAAUCACCUCAUUAUUUAAAGGAGCCAAGUCCAUUAUAGUUGAUCAUCACAUAAUCUUGUUACUGUGUACAAUGUUCUCUUGGUUCUGUUCACUUUACUUAGAAUCAGUACAUAUCUUUCUAGGCUUUUCUGAAAUCAGCCUGCUCUUCAUUUAUUAAGAACAAUUAAUAUUCUAUUAUAUUCAUAUACCAUAACUUAUUUAAUAAUUCCGCCACUGAUGAAUAUUUACUUAACUUCCAAUUUCUUAUCACUACAAAGAGUUGUUACAUUUUUGUAUUUGUGGGACCUUUCCCUUCUUUUAUGAUCUCUUUGAGAUACAGACUCAGUAAUGACACAGCUGGAUCAAAGGGUAUACAGAGUUUUAUAGCCUUUUGGACACUAGUUCCAAAUUGUUCUCCAUAAUGGUUGGAUCACAUCACAACUCCAACAACAAUGCAUUAAUACUUACCAUUUUAAGGAAAUUUCCCACUUAAGCUUUCUAUUUUGUCAAAAGCUUUUUCUGCAUCUAUUGACUCAUGCUUUUUGUUGGUUUUGUUAAUAUCAAUUAUGCUGAUAGUUUUCCUAAUAUUGAAUCAGUUCGGAAAUCCUAGUAUUAAGUCCUACCUGGUCACAGUGUGUGAUCUUUGUAGUAUCUCCUUGCUUGCUAGUAUUUUCUUUAAAAUUUUUGCAACAAUAUUAGGGAAACAGGUUUAUAGUUUAUAGUUUUCUGUUUUCAUUUUUCCUGGUUUGUGGGUCAGCAUCACAAUUGUGUUAUGAAGGAAAUUUGGCAAAAUUCCUCUGUCUAUUUUUCCAAAAAUAUGUAAUAUUUUAAUUAAAUAUUUAGUGGAAUUUAAUUGUAGAUCCAUCUUGGUCCUAAGUAUUUUUUCUUAAAAUUCUUCUGAUAACUUGUUCAAUUUCUUUUUCUAUGAUGGGGUUAUUUAAGUAUUCUAUUGUCUCUUUAACCUGGGCAAAUUAUAUUUUUGUAAAUAUUCAUCUAUUUCACUUAGAUUGUCAGAUUUCUUAGCAUAUAAGUUCCUAAUAAGUGCUUUAAUUUUAUCUUCAUUUGUGCUAAGUUCACCCUUUACAUUUCUGAUGCUGGCAAGAGUGCUUCAAAUGAACUGAGUCAGUACAAGAGGCAGUUUUUGGGCUCCUAUUUGAGUCACAGUCAAGAAGGUAGGGGGAGCUGUGUAUAAUUAUUUGAUGGCCACUUCCCAGUAUAAUGACCAGAAUAGGCUUAAAAUGGAGGCCAGGAAAAUUUUGCCAGAGCGGAUUAGAGCUAUGAGAAUGUAAAUUUCUCUCAUUUACCAUGAAAAUCAUUCAAAAACUAUUGAAUACAAGUAUAUAACAAUUCUCAAGGGACUUCUGAGGUCUACCAAAGAGAGAGAUCUAAUGUGGAAGCAAAUCAUCAGAUCUUUGUCAACAACAGCAGCCGGGAGUUAUAGAAAAAUAUUGCUCAUCUAAAUAUCUAAUUUAACUUUUGCGUCUUUUUAACAACUUUGACAAAUCUGUAGAUGGCAAGUAAAUUACUUACCUCUAAGUCAGGCAGGCUGAAUUUAGAGAUCCAAAUUAGUCAAUUCUAAAUUAUCUAUGUCAAGAAGUUCAUAUUUUUUGAUUUUUCAAUUCACUGGGGCAAGUCUGAUAUAGUGGCAAAAACCAUGGAUUUGGCAUCAAAUGACCUUAGAUUGAGCUGUAUUUUUUCAGCUAUGGAACAUUUAUUAUUGGCCAGGUACUGUGCUAGGACCUCAGGAAAACAAGAAAAUCUAAGUCCCUAUAUUCAUGGAUGUCACAUUCUAUUGGGAGUAGGGAGGACAUACAGGUAAAAAAUACAAGAUCUAUACAAAUUAAUUUGGGGGUGGGACUGAAGAUACUAGCAACGGGGGAAUAAGGAUAGAUUUGUACUACCUGUGUGACCAAAGUGACUAAAUCACUUUGCUUUUCUGAUCCUUGUUUUUCUCAUCUGUGAAGAGAGCUAGGCUAAAGGAUCUUUUAAACCCAUGUUAACUCUAUUAUUUCUUACUCCCUAUGUCCCAAUGCUAGCUUAAUGCUAUGGGGUCUGAAGAUAACUGAAAAGGCAAGAUAUAUAGAAGAGGCUAAAUAAAUCCCACAUGUGAAAAAUGACUGUUAUAGGCAAUAAAACAUUAGAUCUAAUCUGGGGGGUUCUUAAUCUGAGAUUCGAGGGCAAAUAUAAAAAGAUACACGAAUUUGGAUAGGAAAAAAAUUACAUUUCAAUAUAACUGGUUUCAUGAUGUAAUAUGCAGUUCAUUUUGUGCAUUAAAAUGCUAUUCUGAGAAAUCCCUGGGCUUCACUGCACUGAAAGGUUCCCUAACAUAUAAAAAGUUAAGAAUCCCUAAAAUAAAAUUUCAUUUCAUAGAUGAGAAAAUACCCCUAAAGAAAGAAUUGAUAUGUCAGAGUUUACAGUGAAUUAGAAACAAUAGCUCAAGCUUUUCUGUCCAUUACUCCAAUACUCUUCUCCCCAUUUCAAAGUAGGUGUAGAGGGGAAAAAAGACUUCUCUGGACCAUAAAAGAUGAAUUCUCUUUCUUUAAAAUGACCUUUUUUACAUUUAACCUUUUCUGGGAAUGUCAUUCUUAGAACAAACUUAUAGAUAGCAUACUUAUUUUAUAGACAAGGAAACAAACUCUUCGUGAUCAUAUCUUGGUUUUGGCUUUUGAAGAAACAAUUAUUGCUAAGUAGUGCUUGGGCCUUGUACUGGGGUCAUAUUCUAUUAUCUUCUUACUCUAGCCACUACUUAUACCUGUAAUAUCUAAUAAAUCUAAUUUUACUCUUCAAUAUCACUUUAGGGUAAUUUAAUAUUUAAGAUUAUCCUAGAAAGCAAAAAAAAAACAAAAAACAAAAAAAAAAAAAAAACCCAAACAAACAAACAAAACAAACCUCAAAAACUAUUUGUGUGAAUAUCUAGACUUCUGGUGGCUUUUAAGAUUUUGAGUUAUUUUAGAUUUCAGAGUCUUAAAAAACCCCUGACAAAUCAUCACCCUUUUCCUUUGUGAUCCAG